UUUUACUAUAUUUGAUAGGAAUCCUAUGAACCCGAAACUAAAAGAGCGAAUAUUACCCUGGUAUUAGAUAAGAUCAUUGCUGUGGCAUUAGGAAUAAACAAAGGAAUAUUAGGGAUGAAACAUCAACAAUUUAAGUGAUAGCUGGAUAGGUACGAAAUACAUUUAGUGUAUAAUAAAAAUCUAUAAAGUGUUGAGAAUUUGUAGUAGUAAAUUAAUCCAUAAGUCUAAAGCUAUACUAUCUUAUAAAAUAAAAAAGUUAACUGUGUUAAUUCCAAAUUUCAUUGGAAAAAAUAUUAUCCUUUAGUAUUUUAGCCUUCACAAUAAAUGCAGGAGGUUUAAUAAUGUAAAAAUUAGUAAAAAUAAAAUAAAUAUAAAAGGAACUCGACAAAUCAUUUUCUUGGCUGUUUAACAAAAACAUAGCGACAUGUACAUAUAUGUGGUGAAGUCUGCCCAAUGAUACGUUUAAUGGCCGCAGUACUUUGACUGUGCUAAGGUAGCAUAAUAAUUUGGCCUUUAAUUGAGGUCUGGAAUGAAAGAAAACACAAGUAAUAAUUGUCUCUCAAUUUUUUUAUUUAAUUUAGUUAGUAAGUGAAAAUACUUGCAAUUAUAAUUAAAAGACGAGAAGACCCUUAGAAUUUUAAGAAAAUAUCCUAUUUGGUUAAAGCUUUUUGUUGGGGCAACAUCUCUUCAAUAUAAAUAAGGGAAGUGAUAGUAUUAUUCACCGAUUUAAUAUUCAAAUACUAAAUUACCUAAGGGAUAACAGCAUAAUUUUAAAUAAAAGAUUGUGACCUCGAUGUUGGACUAGGGACCACAUUUUACUAAUCGUACGUGUGGAUUGUUCUGUUCGAACAUUUUAACCCUACAUGAUCUGAGUUCA
rnacentral:rRNA from 1 species